UGUUCUAUUCUCAGCCCAAGUAAGAGCAGGAUUUUCCACUCCCAGCCCAGACCAUUGUCCAGCAGUGACGAGGAGGGACCUGCCUGCUCUCAAAAUAUCUCCUCUUACUCUCCGGACCUCCCUGCCUCUCGCCACCUCCUCACGCUGACAUCACUUCCUGGGGCUGUUGACUCCUGAAGGCUGCUGUGAAAGGGCACGGCCCCCUGCCAGGGACCCCAGGGACUAUCCUACCCAGCGGCAGGCUUAAGGCCAGGGGGGGGGUUGGCCCGAGGUCACUGGGCAAGUCACCGUGGCGCCUGGCCAUGCGCCAGGGGCUCCGCUGUCCCCGCUGCCCUGCUCCCUUUAGCGCUGUCAGUGCCUUUGCGGGAAUCCCGCCAUCCCCCCACCGCCCCAGCUCUUCCCACCUCUGAUGGAGCUGGGGACCCGGCCAGAGACCUGGGUGGGGGGAGCCGGGUGGAGGAGUGAAUGCCUGCUGACUGGUCGCUGCAGCUGCUCUCAGUGAGCCCCUGCCACCAGGGCAGGACACCUGGCACAUUGGAGUCUCUACCCUGGGUGGCAGUUGUCCUAGGGCCCAGGAGGGACACUUACCCUCCAAGGCUAAGAAAGGCCCUGGCCCACAUGGCUUCCAGACACGGUUAGUCCGGUCUGGGUCCAGAUCAGGCCACCACAGCUGCCCCUCUGCCACCACCCUGGUCAUGGCAGAUUUGGGCUGAUCUGUCUGGUCAGGCCCACGAGGAGGGGAGCCGAGGCCCUGAGCCACGCACGUCCCAGGCACCGCGCAGGGCCCUCCCACGUCCGUCAUACUAUUUCUUCUCCACCAGCGCCAGUGAAACAGGCAUCAUUAUCCCCAUUGAGCAGGUGAGGGACAGGCUCUGGUGGGUGAGGACUCGCGCCAGGUUACACAGGCAGUAAACCUGAGUCAAGGCGGGAGCUCAGGUCCACCGAUGCCCAGAUUAGUUCCCGGUCCAGGAGCCCAUGCCCCAUGCAGCUCCUGUGGGGCAGGAGGGCUUUAAGUGAUGCUUCCUGUGAUUCAGGAUGAGAGAGGCAGUCUGGUGAGGGUGGGUUAAGGAUGCCAGUUCUGUGUCCAGACCACCUGCCUUGGGGUACGGUCUUUGCUUUCUCCAGCUAUGGCAUCUUGGGCAAAUCACUUAACCUGGCAGGGCCUCCGCUUUCUCAUGUCUAGAAGGAGACACUAGGGUGCAUGUAGCGCAUGGGACACUUACCUGAAAUAACACAUAUGAAGUGCUUAAAGCAGAGCCUGGCACAUGGUAAGCAUUGACAUGCCAGGCACUGUGCCAAGGGAUACGGAGGUGGACCAGCUGGACCCUGCCCUUGUGGAGCUGACAUAAUUUGACAUGUAACCACAGUGGGAUAAGUGAUUUGAAGGAAAGGACAGCGUGUCCAGCCAGGGGGCAUGGGUGUCCUUGUGGCUGAGGCUUCCCAGGGUGUGGGAGGAGGAAGCUGGUCCAUCCGGGGAAAGAUGUGGGACCACCCUCUGCCCUGCCUGGCACUGGGAGGCUCUCAGACCCUUGUCCAGGUGAUGGCCUGUGGGAGGAGGGCUAGGAUGCCCUUGAUCUUCCCUAGGGGCUCAAGGGCCCCCACCCGCGCAGGGCACAGGCUUAGCCGUGUCCCUCUGACUGGUGGUGCCCGCCACAGGGCACUGCAGCCACGCCUUGGUUUAACCAAGAGUCCGAAA
rnacentral:lncRNA from 1 species